rnacentral:rRNA from 1 species
UACGUAGGGGGCGAGCGUUAUCCGGAUUUACUGGGUGUAAAGGGAGCGUAGACGGCCAUGCAAGCUCGGUGUGAAAGGUGCGGGCACAACCCGCAGACUGCACUGAGAACUGUAUGGCUGGAGUGCCGGAGGGGCAGGCGGAAUUCCUGGUGUAGCGGUGAAAUGCGUAGACAUCAGGAGGAACACCGGUGGCGAAGGCGGCCUGCUGGACGGCGACUGACGUUGAGGCUCGAAAGCGUGGGGAGCGAACAGG